rnacentral:rRNA from 1 species
GGAGUUAGCCGGUGCUUCUUCUGUGAGUGAUGUCCUUCCUGCCGGCUAUUAACCCGCAGGCCUUCUUCCUCACUGAAAGUGCUUUACAACCCGAAGGCCUUCUUCACACACGCGGCAUGGCUGGAUCAGGGUUGCCCCCAUUGUCCAAUAUUCCCCACUGCUGCCUCCCGUAGGAGUCUGGGCCGUGUCUCAGUCCCAGUGUGGCUGAUCAUCCUCUCAGACCAGCUACGGAUCGUCGCCUUGGUGAGCCGUUACCUCACCAACCAGCUAAUCCGACAUAGGCUCAUCCGAUAGCGCGAGGCCCGAAGGUCCCCCGCUUUCCCCCGUAGGGCGUAUGCGGUAUUAGCCUGGGUUUCCCCAGGUUAUCCCCCACUACCGGGCAGAUUCCUAUGCAUUACUCACCCGUCCGACGCUCGCCACCAGGGAGCAAGCUCCCCGUGCUGCCGCUCGACUUGCAUGUGUUAGGCCUGCCGCCAGCGUUCAAUCUGAACCAAGAUCAAAUUCUGA